GCGGCUAUACGCGAUUGGUGAUGUCAUCUGGAAGGAGACAUCGCUCAAAGGGUGGUGCAGGUAUGCUCUGUACCAAGCGCUCCAGGAUGGGACUGCGGCCGAUCAGGCUGUUGGCGGGGCAAUGGCCCACCAAACCUGUAACCGGUACGGGCUUUGAGAGAAGGAGCCCGGAGAUGGACACUGAGACAAGGUUCCAGGCCCUACGGGGCGCAUCAGGCGCGGAAACUUCGCAAUGCGCGAAAGCGUGACGAGGCUAGUCCGAGUGUCGUCCGCUGAGGAUGACUUUUCUUUGCUGUAAAUAGGCAGGGGAAUAAGGGGAGGGCAAGUCUGGUGUCAGCCGCCGCGGUAAUACCAGCUCCUCGAGUGGUCAGGACGAUUAUUGGGCCUAAAGCACCCGUAGCCGGUUCCAUAAGUCCUCUGUUAAAUCCAACCGCUCAACGGUUGACCUGCAGAGGAUACUGCGGGACUAGGAGGCGGGAGAGGCGGACGGUACUCCGUGGGUAGGGGUAAAAUCCUUUGAUCCGCGGAAGACCACCAGUGGCGAAGGCGGUCCGCCAGAACGCGCUCGACGGUGAGGGGUGAAAGCUGGGGGAGCGAACCGGAUUAGAUACCCGGGUAGUCCCAGCCGUAAACGAUGCGAGCUAGAUGAUUCAAUCGCAGUUCGCGAUUGAAGUGUCGCAGGGAAGCCGUUAAGCUCGCCGCC
rnacentral:rRNA from 1 species